UACGUAGGGGGCAAGCGUUGUCCGGAUUUAUUGGGCGUAAAGAGCGUGUAGGCGGCUAGAUAGGUCCGUUGUGAAAACUCGAGGCUCAACCUCGAGACGUCGAUGGAAACCAUCUGGCUAGAGUCCGGAAGAGGAGAGUGGAAUUCCCGGUGUAGCGGUGAAAUGCGCAGAUAUCGGGAAGAACACCCGUGGCGAAGGCGGCUCUCUGGGACGGUACUGACGCUGAGACGCGAAAGCGUGGGGAGCAAACAGG
rnacentral:rRNA from 1 species